AUGUCCUCCUCACGGCUCAAUGUAUCAGAGCCACUGACCUCUGACAAGCGUCAGUUCAACUAUCCACCCAACCCACCCGUCCGUUCCAUCAGUCCUGCAUCCACUAGCACGAAAAAACCCACAACCCCCCAACAAACCACUCACGCUGUUCCUACUAAGCAUCAAGUACACCAUACCCUCCCUCGAUGUACAACAAUACAGGCUACAACUGCUCAAAGCACGUUAGAACACGUUAUAUCAACUACGUCAGAGCCUAAAACGGACUCUACACUCAAUCCCCAACUGACAACAACUACGUCUCAGUGGGCAUCAAUAAACCUGCGUCAUACGACCACCUCUCCGACGGGUGAACCUGAUACAACAACUGAUACUUUAAACCAAAGAAUUCCAACCCCCCCACCUGUUUAUAUAACCACAGCCCACCCAAGCUCUACAACUGACUACUUUGACUCUACUAUGACCUCUGUCCCAAUCAACAAAGCUCUAAGUUCCUCAACUACCCAGCAGACUUUGGAACUAAAAACUACAGCUAUACAGACUCCAGACUCUUUGGCAAUGGCUUCUCAAAAGUCUAUGCAAUCUCCAGGUUCCUCAACUACUUUGAGACUAAAAACUACAGCUUCAAAGAAUACAAACUCUUUGGCGAUGGGUUCCCAAGACACUAUGCAAUCUUCAAGUUCCUCAACUACCCAAAAGUCUUUGGAACUAAAAACUUCAGCUCUACAGAAUACAAACACUUUGGUGACGGCUUCCCAAGAUGCAAUGCAAUCUUCAAGUUCCUCAACUACCCAACAGUCUUUGAGACUAAAAACUACAUCUCUACAGAAUACAAACUCUUUGGCGACAGCUUCUCAAGACACUAGGCAAUCUUCAAGUUCCUCAACUAUCCAACAGCAUUUAGGAUUACAAACUUCAACUCUACAGACUACAAACUCUUUGGCUUCUCAAAAGUCUAUGAAAUCUUUUACCAAGGUCUUGACAAGUACCCAACAACCCUUAAACCAAACUACAGAGCGAGCUACUUCGCUUUAUGAGUCCAAGUUGGAAGAGUAUCCAAAAACUACAGUGCAAACAACUGUUAUUGAGACAGUUACCGCCCAGACUUAUGCACCUUUCCAAUCUGAAGCAUCAACUACCACGAAACCCUUAAUUUCUGCCAACGUUCCCUUACAAACAUUGACCCAAAUUACAGCUGCAUAUGGGACAAUACAAGCUAAAACUGCUCAAAGCACAUCAGAGACUAAAAUGGGCUCUACACCCAAUCCCCAACAGACGACUACUACAUCAAAGUGGACAACCAUAGACCCUUUAACUUCUACAGAUGUUCCCUUACAAACCUCAACACAAACUACCCCUGCAUAUGAGACUUCUAAAUGGCCUUUACAAACCCCAACACAAACUACUACUCUAUCCCAACCAACACAGACAACUAGCAGUGACACAAGAACCACCACGAAUCCUACAGUCACCACUGAUGGUUCUACAGCCCCCAGAUACCUGUCCCUAAGUUUCACACACACUCGACUGGGCAACUCCCCAACCACCAGUAGUUUGAGUUCUUCUCUAACUGCCCCAACUAGCAGCAUGGUGGACAGUCAACCGUACCCCAACGACACGAAGGGUUACAUCAGCCGGAACAUCACUACGGGUGACGCACCUCAACCUGGUGGGGAUGGAAACUUGAUGUCAGUGUGGCAUUUGGCGGCCAACACUGUACUGGUGGCUUUAGCGACCUGCGCUACCAUCACAUUCUGCUGCUGUUGUUCGGUGUUUGUGGCUCUGAGCUGGAGAGGCCGUAGGCGUCGGAAGGGCAGGUACAGGACAAAUCUGAGGUGCAAGAGAGGAUCAAUGAGACUCAUCAAGUACGUUAUCGUAAGAGAGAGUUCGUAA
ensembl:lncRNA